UGGAGAGUUUGAUCCUGGCUCAGAUUGAACGCUGGCGGCAGGCUUAACACAUGCAAGUCGAGCGGGGAAAGGUAGCUUGCUACUGGAYCUAGCGGCGGACGGGUGAGUAAUGCUUAGGAAUCUGCCUAUUAGUGGGGGACAACAUUCCGAAAGGAAUGCUAAUACCGCAUACGUCCUACGGGAGAAAGCAGGGGACCUUCGGGCCUUGCGCUAAUAGAUGAGCCUAAGUCGGAUUAGCUAGUUGGUGGGGUAAAGGCCUACCAAGGCGACGAUCUGUAGCGGGUCUGAGAGGAUGAUCCGCCACACUGGGACUGAGACACGGCCCAGACUCCUACGGGAGGCAGCAGUGGGGAAUAUUGGACAAUGGGGGGAACCCUGAUCCAGCCAUGCCGCGUGUGUGAAGAAGGCCUUAUGGUUGUAAAGCACUUUAAGCGAGGAGGAGGCUACUAGUAUUAAUACUACUGGAUAGUGGACGUUACUCGCAGAAUAAGCACCGGCUAACUCUGUGCCA
rnacentral:rRNA from 1 species